rnacentral:rRNA from 1 species
AUUGAACGCUGGCGGCAUGCCUUACACAUGCAAGUCGAACGGCAGCGGGCCUUCGGGUGCCGGCGAGUGGCGAACGGGUGAGUAAUGCAUCGGAACGUGCCAUUGAGUGGGGGAUAACGUAGCGAAAGUUACGCUAAUACCGCAUAUUCUGUGAGCAGGAAAGCAGGGGACCGCAAGGCCUUGCGCUCUUUGAGCGGCCGAUGUCAGAUUAGCUAGUUGGUGAGGUAAAGGCUUACCAAGGCGACGAUCUGUAGCGGGUCUGAGAGGAUGAUCCGCCACACUGGAACUGAGACACGGUCCAGACUCCUACGGGAGGCAGCAGUGGGGAAUUUUGGACAAUGGGCGCAAGCCUGAUCCAGCCAUGCCGCGUGAGUGAAGAAGGCCUCGGUUGUAAAGCUCUUUCGGCCGGGAAGAAAUCGCAUGGGUUAAUACCCUGUGUGGAUGACGGUACCGGAAUAAGAAGACACCGGCUAACUACGUGCCAGCAGCCGCGGUAA